UGAGUGAGAGUAUUUUGUCAUGA
rnacentral:piRNA from 1 species